rnacentral:rRNA from 1 species
GACGAACCGAGCGAACGUUGUUCGGAAUCACUGGGCUUAAAGGGCGCGUAGGCGGGCGGCCGCGUCCGGGGUGAAAUCCCACGGCUCAACCGUGGAACGGCCUCGGAUACGGGCGGCCUCGAGGGGGGUAGGGGCAUCUGGAACUGUGAGUGGAGCGGUGAAAUGCGUUGAUAUUCACAGGAACUCCGGUGGCGAAGGCGAGGUGCUGGACCCCAUCUGACGCUGAGGCGCGAAAGCCAGGGGAGCGAACGGG